rnacentral:rRNA from 1 species
GCUUAACCGAAGAAGUGCAUCGGAAACUGGGUAACUUGAGUGCAGAAGAGGACAGUGGAACUCCAUGUGUAGCGGUGGAAUGCGUAGAUAUAUGGAAGAACACCAGUGGCGAAGGCGGCUGUCUGGUCUGCAACUGACGCUGAGGCUCGAAAGCAUGGGUAGCGAACAGGAUUAGAUACCCUGGUAGUCCAUGCCGUAAACGAUGAGUGCUAGGUGUUGGAGGGUUUCCGCCCUUCAGUGCCGGAGCUAACGCAUUAAGCACUCCGCCUGGGGAGUACGACCGCAAGGUUGAAACUCAAAGGAAUUGACGGGGGCCCGCACAAGCGGUGGAGCAUGUGGUUUAAUUCGAAGCUACGCGAAGAACCUUACCAGGUCUUGACAUCUUGCGCUAACCUAAGAGAUUAGGCGUUCCCUUCGGGGACGCAAUGACAGGUGGUGCAUGGUCGUCGUCAGCUCGUGUCGUGAGAUGUUGGGUUAAGUCCCGCAACGAGCGCAACCCUUGUUACUAGUUGCCAGCAUUCAGUUGGGCACUCUAGUGAGACUGCCGGUGACAGACCGGAGGAAGGUGGGGACGACGUCAGAUCAUCAUGCCCCUUAUGACCUGGGCUACACACGUGCUACAAUGGUCGGUACAACG